UUCACCACCUUGGCCAGGCUGGUCUUGAUCUCCUGACCUCGUGAUCCACCUGCCUCGGCCUCCCAAUGUGCUGGGAUUACAGGCGUGAGCCUCCGCGCCCAGCCGAACACCCCUCAUCUUCUAAUCCCCACCCAGGGUUGGCUCCUCAGUGGUGCCUCCUUCUGGGCAGACCAUGUCACUCCUCACCCUGCACCAUGACGAUAUCAUCAUGGAGAACAACGACAAACAGCAUCAUCCAGUGAACAAGUGUCAGCCUGUGCGGGAUGCCCGGGGGCCCACCUUUCGUGUCACCUCCCCACACCCCCGACUGUCGUGGGGGCAGCCAAGGUGCGGAGGUUUGUGACUUGCUCGAUGCAAAGCCAGGCCUGCGUGCUCCAAACUCGUGUGCUCUCCACUCUGCUCUGUCCGUGUGAAGACUGCCUCUGCCUGCCUGGGGCAGACACUGGGGGCUCACCUUCUGGUGGGACAGAGCAGAGCGGGGCAUUACAUACCUCUGGAAUGACGGACUGAGGCUCCAGACUGCCCAGGUGCUCAGUUUGAAGCUAACCUCCCCUGCCUACCCCACCUUCCCAGAACAGUAUUCACUGUAUUUCACUGAUUAGCCACCAGGCUAAGGACAGAACAAGAAAGAGCCUGCGUGUUUCCAGACAUCGUGGAGCUGUCAAACCCACCCUGAAACUGCAGACCUUCAGGCUUCUCGCUAGGAGUGAGGCCCAGCUGCCCUGGCCUUCCCAUGGGACUGCUCCACAGUGGACAACCACGGCACAGACCUGAAGGCACCGGGCUCCACGGAAGCCCUCGGGAGCUGGCGCUGAGACCUGGCCCAGCCCUUCCUCCCACUCCUUCUCAUCACCAGCUCAGCUGACCACCUGCACCCGCCCCAUCACCCUCCUCAGGCUUCUGUGCUUCUGAACAUGCUGCCCUUCUUCCAAGAAGAAAUGUACUCCUCACCACCUCAACUCAUGCUCCUAAGCCCAGACCAAAGGUCAGGUCUCCUGGUGGGGUCCGCCCUGACACCCACUCAGGGCCUAUUCCUUCCAGCCAGCGGCCAAGAGCAUUUUCCACAGACCAUAACUCUAAGCACUGCUUAGUGGAGUGAUUGGAGUAACUCUGUUGGGUGAUUUAUUUGUUUCUACAUCUCUCUGUCCCAGGAGUCUGUGAGCCCUUUAAGGGUGGAGGUUAUAGCUCACGAAUGGUCCAAUUGUCUACCCCAGAGGGACCUGGCCCAUGAUAAACCUGUAGUACCUGUUUGCUGAAUGACGGAAUGAAGGAUGAGGCCAUAUUCACCAGCACAAUAAACCUUUAUAACAAUGUAAA